GUAAUCAUUUGUUAUUCACUUUUUCGAAACGGUUCAAAAUUUCCAGACUAUUUCUUUUUAAAUUGUACACGUUGAGCACUCUCUCCUUUCGUCACCUACCGGGGAAACAAUCGAGAAGAUUUGAUUUCUUGCUUUGCGAUGGCAAACUGGUGUUUCUUUCUCGAUGCGAAGCCACUCGUCCGAAAAGCGUCGGGUUCAGUGUUUUCCGAAACUGUCCAUUUUCUUUUUGUUUGUGUGGCAACUUAAAUUGAAGAAGGAAAAGAAAAAAGUCGUUUCAUAAAAUAAAACACUUGCCUUCCGCUUUUGCGACAAAGGAGCCGGGAUUUCGGAUUCAUUCAGCUAAGGCCUCAACCCGGAGCAAAUCCGAGACCCGUCGUGGCGAACGUCCUCCUCUCGGUGGGCCAUGCUGCACCAGCAGGGACACCAUAUGUAACGAAUGAACUUAAAGGAGGAAGAAUUGUCAACCACAUAUAUUUGGAAAUACAAUAAAUAACAAUUAUUCAUA